GACGAACGCUGGCGGCGUGCCUAAUACAUGCAAGUCGAGCGCAGGAAACCGUCUGAACCCUUCGGGGGGACGACGGUGGAAUGAGCGGCGGACGGGUGAGUAACACGUAAAGAACCUGCCCACGGGUCUGGGAUAACCACGAGAAAUCGGGGCUAAUACCGGACGGGUCAUCGGACCGCAUGGUCCGAGGAUGAAAGGCGCUCCGGCGUCGCCCGUGGAUGGCUUUGCGGUGCAUUAGCUAGUUGGUGGGGUAACGGCCCACCAAGGCGACGGUGCAUAGCCGACCUGAGAGGGUGAUCGGCCACGCGGGGACUGAGACACGGCCCAGACUCCUACGGGAGGCAGCAGUAGGGAAUCUUCCACAAUGGACGAAAGUCUGAUGGAGCAACGCCGCGUGAACGAUGAAGGCCCUCGGGUCGUAAAGUUCUGUUGUAAGGGAAGAACAAGUGCCGCAGGCAAUGGCGGCACCUUGACGGUACCUUGCGAGAAAGCCACGGCUAACUACGUGCCAGCAGCCGCCGUAAUAC
rnacentral:rRNA from 1 species